AUUAGUGUGGACAUUGAAAGACAUAGAGUCUGGAUUAAACUGAGAAGGGGACUGGACUUGUCUCUGCUUCUCAUCAUUGAGGACCAUAUUAUAGACAGUGUCAAGGGUUGGAGGUGGCUGCAUCAUCAAUGGAUUACUCCUUACCCCCAUGUAUGCUUCAUUAAGGCCCAUUAAAAACUGAAAUACCUUAUUUUCAUCAUUUUCCUGUAUUAUACCAUUUUUGGCAGCACAAACACAUCUCCGCCCAUGAUUGGUACACAUUGAUUCUAAUUCGUCCCACAAACUUUUGAGUUUAUUAAAAUAUGAAGCUACAUCUAGGGACCCUUGAGAGGUGUGAGAAAGCUCUAUUUUCAAUUCAAAAAUUUUGGUCAUGUUUGCAGUGCCAUAUCUGGCCUGAAGUUGGGACCAUAUACUCUGUGCAGUAUCAGAAUACUGCACACUUUCAGCAAUUUGAGGGGAGAGGGAGGUCUGGCCUGAAGUUGGGACCAUAUACUCUGUGCACUAUCAGAAUACUGACCACUUUCAGCAAUUUGAGGGGAGAGGGAGGCAGUUAACCAGGAAAUCACCAUAUUAUUGCACAUGUCCCAUAACCUUUGUUGAGCCACAUUAGUGACUGGCCGGGAGCACGUGCCAUCAACAAAGCCAAUUUUGUUUUUAGCAAAUAACGCGACAAUCAUUUUUCUCCUCCAACUCCCAUAACCACUGCCCGAGAAGGGAGUGGGGACAAGAGAGACCCCAGGGACAUCAGAGGAGUAAACAAAAAGGGGGAUGGUAGAAUCUACCGAGGAGGUACUAGCAUUCGUAUUAGAAGCCAUGAUUAAUGAACCAGUUUGAAAGGAA
rnacentral:lncRNA from 1 species